rnacentral:misc_RNA from 1 species
GGAAGGAUCAUUAACACUCGUUGUUACAAACUCACCUUGCGAACACGCUGAAAAGUUGUGGUUCUUCCGGGUAGCUCAUGAAAAAGGCCACCGUGCACAGCAGCGUCAACGCUGCGGUGUGCGGGGGUCGAGCUAACUGUGUAAUUUUUCGCCUCACCAUUAUUAUCUCCAUGAACUUGAACUGAAACUGAAAACACAUGACCCUAAACCGUCGUGUGCAACCAAAUAAAAGACAACUUUUGGCAGUGGAUAUCUUGGCUCUUGCAUCGAUGAAGAACGCAGCAAACUGCGAUAAUUAAUGUGAAUCGCAGAAACCUGUGAAUCAUCAAAACUUUGAACGCACAUUGCGGGCUUCCAGUGGGUUCGCCUGCCGGAAGCCAUACCUGUUUGAGAAUUGGUAAUUCACUAUCAAAACCCAGCAAUGGGUUUUGGACAUGAGGUUGAAGUUCACGCAAAGGUGUCCGGCUCGCCGGGCAUUGGGUUGAUGAACCUCUUCCUUGAAUAGAGUUCAGCCUUUGAAGAGCUGCCUCUGCGUAUAUUAAGUAAUAUACUGCAUCAGGUUUGCGUGGACGCAAGGGCCGAUCAGUGCAUCACCAACUAACGCUGCAUCAUUCAUGCGCGGCGUUACUUACCAUCUUAUCUCAAAUCAGGUAAGAAUACCCGCUGAACUUAAGCAUAUUACUAAGCGGAGGAAAAGAAACCAACUAGGAUUCCCCCAGUAACAGCGAGUGAACAGGGAAAAGCUCAAAGUUAAAAUCGGAGCAAUCCGAGUUGUACUUUUGAGAGACGUUCCUGUGGGUUCUUGAGGUAUAACUUCCAUCUGAAUGGGAGAUCAAAGAGGGUGAAAAUCCCGUAUUUGACCUUAUAGAACCUAAUACAGAGCGUUAUCGGAGAGUCGGGUUGUUUGGGAUUGCAACCCUAAUUGGGUGGUAUACUUCAUCCAAAGCUAAAUAUUGGCAAGAGACGAUAGCGAACAAGUACCGUGAGGGAAAGAUGAAAGAACUUUGAAAAGAGAGUAAAAUAGUCCUUGAAACUGCCAAGAGGACAAGCGAUUACGGCUGUUGUUGUGUUACUCAAUCCUCUUUCUGUGGGGUAAGGCGCCAGAGAAGACAGAGCCCUCAAAGCCUGUCCCUUUGGUUCUCGAGCUCUGUGGGAGGAUGUGAUUGGGUAAUGCCGGUUAACGACGGUUUUCGCUCUGUGGCGCGUACGAGGACGGUAGCCUUCCACUUCGGUGGUUAAGGAACUUAUAGCCUCGUGGCCAAAGCAGACGCGGGGACUGGCGACAAGUGGCCUUCCACGGCCACAAGGACGUGUCUGACUCAGCGGGACAGUGCGUCAAUCGGCUUUACAAGUCUUCGGACGGGCAAAGUACGAGGGCUCACUGGACUGUUGUCUCUAGCGUUCUCAAUGUUGACAUUUCAUACGGCUUUAAUCGACCCGUCUUGAAACACGGACCAAGGAGUCUAACAUAUAUGCGAGUAUUUGGGUGGCAAACCCAUGAAUGCGAAAUGAAAGUAAAGGGUGCCUUGUGCACCUGAGGUAGGAAUUCUCGCGCCCUUCGGGGCCGGGAGGCACUAUCGACCGAUCUGGAUGUUUUUUGAAGAUUCGAGUAAGAGCAUAUCUGUUAGGACCCGAAAGACGGUGAACUAUGCCUGGGUAGGGUGAAGCCAGAGGAAACUCUGGUGGAGGCUCGAAGCGAUACUGACGUGCAAAUCGUUCGUCAAAUCUGGGUAUAGGGGCGAAAGACUAAUCGAACCGUCUAGUAGCUGGUUCCCC